rnacentral:lncRNA from 1 species
AGUUGUUAAGCACCCUGCUUUAGAUUUUGAGCAUUUUUGUUGCUCCAAACGGGAAAAAAAAUGCACAAACGACAGAUGAUCUGCUGUACCUUUAAUUACAUGUACAACACAGGUAAGGAAGAAAUGCCUUUGAAACACGAUCGGCUUGACUGAAACUCUAGGGAAAAUAUCCCUAUUGCAUCUGAAAGUGCAACAUCAAAAAUAUGCAUAGACCUUCAUAGAAUAUUGAAACUAACGCAAGUUGUAGAUGCCUCGUUUCUCAGAUUUUGAAUGUUUGGUGUAAUCAAAAACAAUCUUUUGCUGUUUUAGAACGAAAAAAAAAACAAUCUGAGAACUAUUUGUAAUAGAUUGUACUGUUUUAUACAACGUCUGGCUGGUUGUUGCCCAGGGCAACGCAAUCGCAUACAUUCCAUGGAAUUUUUUGACAAUUAAUAUUUGGCAUUUUGUAUCGACAAAAAAAAUUGUAAAUAUUGAAAAAUUGGUAAUAAGUAUUAUAUAUAGUCUUUGGGUGAGGUAUUAUACCUUUUUAGUAUUACAAGUUCAUGCACUUUUUCAACAGUGGUUUUGCUGAUUGUCAUGCUGUAAAAGUGUGUGGUGUAUCAUUCGAGAUCGCAGAAGUAAUAUUUGUAAUCGAAAUGACCGAUGCUACAAGACUGUCUUUUCAAUUUACUAAAAAAAACCUGCCCUUGUAUAUAAACACUGCUAGAGUUAUUUAUUUCUUAAGUAUUUGAUUACCAAUACCGUAAAAUCUUGUAAGCUUGUCGGAAACAAAAACAAGAUGGAUCAAGGUUUUUCCCUGAAAAGUUUAAGAUCCUAAUGACUAUUUUCUAUCGCUCAAAAAAAUGCUGCCGUAUUAUUUGUCCAAUAACGAGCUUAGGAAAUUUCUAGCAUGUUUUAUCUUUGAAGUCCUUUUUUGCAUGAGGAGUCAAUUUCAAGGGCCUAGGGGUUUGGACAAGAAUAAUGGCCUGAGCCAAAGGCGAAGGUCACUAUCCUCAUCCAGGCCCCUCGGCUGGUUUUAAACGUACUUGUUUAAUAACGGCCAUUAGCACAUAUUUAUUCCCAUUCAUAAAUACCUUUCUGUCAAAGAGUCAAGCAAGUCAAACUUACAAAUUUCCAACGAUUUUGUUCAACAAUUGUACUUCAUGUUUUGUAAAACACCAACUCUAGCUGUUUACGGUAUGUGCCUGGCUUGCACGUACUGCGCUGAGUGGCGCAGAAUGCAGCGGUGCAGGUGUAGUGUGAAUUUAGGACUCGAUGAAAUACUGACGGCGCAUGCCUAGGUGAAGAUAAUUUAGGAGAGUAACUGGUCACGUGUGAGGGAUCAACUAAUGAAAGGGUAAAGGGGGCCAGAUUUCAUAGGAGUCCAAAUUUCAUGUGACACCGGGAAAAAAAGUGUUUCAAACCAAUUAGUGUUUUAUCAACCAUUUAAAACCAUCCCACCUGACGGGCUCUCGACCAGUAGGAAUGGGUGAACUGUCUUAGGUAUUUAUGAUUUCUUGUUUCAGUUUAUCACUGCCAAGAAACUUGUAAAGUGCAAAGAUAAAAUUUAUAAAAAAUUAAUAAAUUGAGAUUUCAGCAUUUUUUGGCCAGCAUUAAAGAACUUGUGAACAAUACCACCUUCCGUGAUGGAUUACAUGUAAAUUAAGCAUUUUCAAGCAUGCAGCAUUCACUAAAAGAAAUUGCUUUAAUUAUUUAUGCUUUAUAAAAUAUUUCCAUGUCAUAUUCUCACGGCAGUAUUUCUUUUAAAGAUCGGCUUAAGAGCGUGCAAACAUUUUUUUUUAUGUAAAAGAAAACUGGCAAGAUAAUGACUCCGGUUUAAUAUAACAAAUGUACAAUGUGAGUCCGUUUUUGUCUUCGGGGACAUCACAUUGUAGAUAAGAAAAUGUUUGGGAAUUCUUUUCUUUUCAUUUUUGCUGAGUUGUGGUUCGAGAAAUGGCCAGUUUGAGUUGCCAUUUUAAUCAGGCCCCUUGAGUCCAAGUGACAUGAAUGUCAAAUGGUAACCAUUGGGACCCGGGCAUUUUCUUUUAAAGUGCAAGUCCAUUUACAAUAUAAAUGCAAUGUGAGCCUCACUUUGAUUUUUUUCUUGACGAAUAUAAAUGAAACGUGAAUUAUUGCUGCAGUAAGCUGCAAAGUUGUCCAGGAACUACAAAGAAAUCUGGACUUUUGUUUUUAAUUAUAUUUUUUUAUGAUUUUUUUUUUUAAAUUUAUGUAUUGAUAUAUCCCAAAAAUCUGAAAGUUUUAAUUUCAUUAUAAAUGAGGCGUACGUGUAUAUUGAUUUUAAUUGCAUGCAAGCAUGUUUGGUUUGUGGAUAACUGGCAGCCAUUUCUGAAACUUUGUUUAAGGCUUUGGGAUAUCAAUUUAACGUGGGACCAUGUCCUACAUAACUCCAGUUUGGAGUUUUGUCCAUUUGGAUCAAACACUACUGCUUGGAGAGUCAAAGCUGAAGACAAAAACAUGUUUUC